rnacentral:misc_RNA from 1 species
AAAAAAAAUCGUCAUCCAAAAGAAAGAACACUUGUCUACUUUCCUCUACAAAAACCUUUCUGUGGCCAAGAAAUUUGGAAUCGAAGCUUCAAGAUGGGAAUUCCUAUUUUUCUAAAACCAAAAGUUAAUGGAUGAGAAGACGUGAUGUUUAUAGGUAGAAAAGCACUCGAAAACAACUACAAUCAAGUGGCCUCAACUUCACACAAAAUAGAUA